AGUUGAGAGAACACCAAAUUCUCACAGUUAUCAUCUACUUCUUGCUGUUUGGCAAGAACAACCUCCAAUUGAUCACAAUCUUCCAAAUACAAUUUUUUCAGUUUCCCAAGUCUUUGCGCAGCAGAUGCAGGAAGGAUGGCUUUUAGUUUGUUGCAACAAUUAAUGUAUAGAAACUCUAGAUUGCCCAGGUCAAGUAACUCAGUAGAGCACUUAUAUAUGUGCUUUAGUCCUCCCAAAUCUUUCAACUCAAGUUCCCAUAAACGGGGAGGAACAUCUUCUUUCUUCUCAAAUAUAUACUCUAAAGCAUUGCAACAUUCCACUUGGAGCACUUCAAGUUCCUUCAAUUGUAGCUGUGGAUUAAGAGAACCAAAAACAUUUGACAAUUUUGGGCACCCAUUAAACCUCAACUUUUUGAGCUUCAUCAUGGACAGGGACAUUUCAUAAGGUAGCUCACCUUUGCAUAAUCCUUUUAGGGCUUUCAAAUAUGAAAGCGACAAUGUUUCCAGGUCCACCAAACAAGUUCCCUGCUGCUGCUGUGUUGUGGGUAGAAUCUCCCAUUCUUCAGCAUUGAUCAAGUACUCGAGCUUGGAGCAGUAGCUGAUAUACAGAGAUCUCAAGACAGCUAAACUAUCUCUUAGAUCUCUCUCUGAGAAUAGUAGGGGAAAGAUAUUUCUUAACCCUUUGAGUUUAGAUAGAGAGAGAUCAUUUGUUCUCGGCAGUAAUGGCUUGAUGCAACCAUACCUGGUAACCCACAUUGUUGGAUCUUUGAUUAAACCUUUAAGAUUCAAACAAUUUUUUCUAGAUAAAAAUCUAGCUAUUUUCUCCAUACGAUCAGGGAAAACACGUCCAUAUCCUAUGGAUAUUUUGAAAACCUCCAAAUCAGGGAAAGAGAAGCCUUCAGGUAUGUGUUCAAAAUUCUUUAUAACAAUCGUGAAGGCAGUUAAGCGAGGCAGAGAUUUCAACUCAGUUAUGUCAAAACUUUCAAAGUUACCAAACCUUUCUAAUUGUGAAGACCACAUGUACAACUCUUGCAACUGGGGUAAACUGGAUAUGACAUUGUGAGGGAAUAUAGAAUCCAUGUGUGGAAGAUGGUAACAAUGUUCCAAAUCCAGCAACUUUAGACUAGUUAACUUUCUCAUUGCACUCACUGGCUCAGUAAAUAUACUUCCUCUGAAGCUAAGAAUUUCUAGCAACUUUAGUUCUUCAAGGGAACUGGUAUCACCCACUCUACCAUAUUGGAGAAUCAAUGUCCGGAGAUUUGUGAGAUGACCAAGUGAGAUGUGGGGAAUUGAUUCUUCAAAAGGAAAAGGUAAAUUGCUUCUCUGAUCAACAACUUUAAGGGUUUUCAUCCCUUUGAGGACUCCUUCUGGCAUAGGCAAUUGCGAAUUGGAGUUAUCUCUUAACAACAAUGUUUGUAGGUUUGGACAAUCCCAAGAAGCAGGAUAUUCUGGAAUUUGACUUUGCAUAAUUGAGAUGGCAGCGUAACGUUUUAAAUUUUCAAUAUUCGGCCACUCCUCAAGCUUUUCACCAUCAGCUUUCGCAAAAUACACAUCAGAUGUUAUUGAUUUGGCCACAUCACGAACAACAUCAUGCAUCUUGACAUAGCCGUCCCAUUUGCUUGUUAAAAGUAAACAUGAUUCUUUGAGAUUGUUGACAAUAGAACGAGCUCUAUUUCUUGCUUCCUGUAUUCUCACAUCUUCAAAUAUUCCCAGACCAAUCCCAUAUCUUACUAAAUCCUCCACAGGAAUGUCGAAAUCCUCAGGAAAUAAACAGCAAAACAGGAACAUAAACUUGGCUUCCUUAUCCCUCAGGUAAUCAUAGCUUAAUCUAAGGCACUUAUAUACUUCAUCAUCCACACCUUCAAUGUUCGCAGGUCGAGCUUGCUUAAGUUCUAGAGCUGCCUCUUUCCAUUGUUCCAAGUCUUUGCCUCUCAUUGCCCUCCCAACUGUUAGAAUCGCUAUGGGCAAGCCUCUACAUUCUUUGCAAAUCUCCUUUGCCACCGAAUUCAUUGUGGGAGACUCAAUUACAUCGCCGACAUUCCUCUUAAGCAAGCUCCAGGAUUCUUGCUCUGAUAGAACAUGAAACCGGACGAUCUUUAUGGACUCAAUUCUUGAGGCCAUCGCAUUGCACACUUGUCUACGUCGUGUCGUGAUCAUAAUUUUACAACCUAUAUGGUCAUUACCAAAUGGAAUGCCUAUGGAUGCAAGGUCAAGUUUGGCCCAAAUAUCAUCCAAGAUAAUGAGGGUCUUAUUCUCUUUCUUUAGUCUAGUAUGCAACAUCCUUGCUCUUCCUUGUUCGCUACUUGUCUGCUUGAAAUCCAAACCCAACAUUUCUGCUAUCUGCUCCUGAAUCCUUCUUACUGAAAUAGUCUGUGACACCACAGCCAUUACAACAGCAUCAAAAAGCUUAACUUGUUCAACCUCUUUGGCAAUUUCUUUCACCAGAGUGGUUUUACCGAUUCCUCCCAUUCCUUGUAUCCCAAUAAAAUUGGUUCCUUCAUCCUUCAAUGCCUCCAUGAUCUUCCGUAUAUAUUCUUUCGUGCUUUCAAAAAUCACAAAAUCUUGAGAUGGCAUGGAAAGCACCUCUGGAGGAGGUGCAGGGUUGGCAACUUGAUCAAACUCACCAUCUUUUUUAAGCUCCUUAAUUGCUGUUGUUUUCUUUGCAGCUUUCCUUCCCAGCUGAUAACGAGAAAUCAAAUCAAGAAACCUCACUUCCUUGACAACUUGUAGUAAUUCUGUAGCCUCUGAAAUGGCUUCAUCAGCUCUCGAUGUCCAGUUCUGAACCUCAUUUCUGAUAACCAGACCAUUUCUUUUUGCUGUAUUUAUCGAUGACUCUUUACCUUCUCGUGCUGCCUCUAGUAUUUGAACUUGCUCACUGAGAGUAUCUAUGUUCCUUUGGUAGAGAAUACAGUAGCCAAAUUGACGCCCAAUUGUCAACAAGGCACUCUCCAAUUUUUCCAAAUAUUGAAACUAGAACUUCCAUGGCUUGAUUGAUAAUCCCGCUACCACUCGAGGUAGCACGUGGCGCCCACACGGGGCUACUGGAGCUCUGACAACCGUCGACCCGCCACCACAGAUGUGCCUCGACUUCCUGAGUCUGCUGGUACCCACCACACUCGCAAAUGAGCUCCAGUUUGGCCAGAUCAAGGCUUUUCCCCAUUUGUUUCUCUCUCUUCUGUUCUCCUUCCUCCAACCAUUAAAUCAGCCAAACUUGAUGUCUAUGGAAAGUUUAGACGAUGAGGAUAAGGAUGAUGUCCUGCAUCAUUGCCAUCUUUUACUUAUUUGGCCGAAAAAAAUUGAACUUCAAUUUUACCCCUUUGUUUUUUCUCUCUAAAUGCUUGGUUUCUCUCCCUAACAACAAACCCAACACUCACCUUCAAGGAGGAGUUGUAAGUAGCUGGAAUUUUGAAGUCAUGGCUACUUAGAAAUUGAGGGAAAAACUCUCGCUAAUAAUCUCUCUCCGCCCUCUAUUUUUCUUCUUUCCCUUCCUUU
rnacentral:misc_RNA from 1 species